UUCCUCUUCUAUCUCAACUGGGAGUUCUGUUUGUUUCACCUAUUUUUGUUUUUUUCUGUUUCCUCUCUUUACUGCUACGACUACUCAUCAACAAUACCACUCUACGUUCAUCAAUUCAAGGUGGAAACUUUCAAGUCACCCCUCUCUUCUUACUUGUUUCUCUGUCUUUAGGGAUAUUUCAAUAAGAUUUGGAAUUCAGUUGAAUUUGAGUGAGAAUCGAUUCGAUUUUGCUGAUUGUCUGACCACUUCUUUAUCAAAUCCAGAAUAUAGUCAAUUCCAAACGAAGAAAGGCCCAUCAUCCCUUUCUUUCUUUUUCUGUUAUAUUUUUAGUUAUUUCUUGAUGGAAUUUUCUGGGUCCUCUAUAUAUACCAGGUACUGUAAUUUUGACUCUGUUUAUUUCUUUAGCUUAAAUUCGACAAGAUUGAUGGGUUAUUAGGGUUUCAGCUAGCAAAAAUUCAAGGGAUGUCAUUCUUUUUCCUUUUUCCUUUUUGAUAUUAAGUUUGGUUAAUUAGCUGAUGCAGAAGUUCUACACUUGAACAACUUUAAGCAAAAUUUGGUUUUCUCCAGCUUUCGCAAUGAAAGUGAAUUGCUUUGCUUUAAUUUAUUUAUUUUAACUAGCCCUUGAUUUUCUGUUUGGUAUUAUUAUCGCUAAUUGGGAAUGGAAGACGUACAAUUUUCAUAUAGAAGCAAGCAUGGGAGUGCGCAGUUUCACGUCUGUCUUGUGAUAUUGAUGUCACCUUUCCUUUUUUGUUCAGUCACUUAAUGUUCUUACCUUGACUGCAUUUGUAUCUAACUUUUGAAUUUUAUUUAUUUUUUUCCAUGCAGAAAGUACUUGAGAAUUUGACCAGCUAUAUAUCUUCUGAUUAUUAAAGGCACAGGUAAACAUAUUUAUCUCUAUUCAACAUUUUACACUCUGACCUCGUGAGUUGCCAACUGUUUUGUUGGUUGUCUUCAUUUAAUGAGUUUGGACUUUAUCACUUGGCUUGUGCUUGUUUUUCAAAUUUCCUUGUGAUGUUUGCCUUGUUCGUGUAUGCUUCCUUAAUGUUACUGUACAAGAUAUCGUAUCUGAAAGAGUAUUUGUGUAUAUGUGUACAUUGAGAGUACCCUUGCCCUUCUAUUUUCUUUAUUCUGGGUUUCUAUUUCGCAUGUCCAAUUUUUGAUUGUUUACUGAUUGGGCUUGCAAAUAAAGGAAAUUCAAGGAUAUGGGAUGCUUUGUAUCAACGCCGAAGGACACAGGUGGAAACAGAAAGAGACCAUCAAACAUUGGUGAGGUCUCUGUAUUUGUGCCAGGUUUAAGGAUUCCUAAGACCGUGGAUUUCUCCCAGGCAUUAGGCGAUCAUUUGUCUAAAAGUUUAGUGGAACGUCUUUCUGCACUUAGAACCAGAAUUGUAGUUAUGGCUGCACAAGAAGCUCCGACUAUUACAAGAACAAGACGGAGAACGGCUACUCAACAUGGUUAUUUGUAGAACCCUUACAUUUUUUGUUUUCUGAUAUUGCAUCUUGAUGUUUGACCAGAUAUUUCCUGCAGGUGGUUCAACUCUGGGAGAUCUUCUUCAGGCUCUCGAAGAUUAUUUGCCUGUUCUUUUGGGUUUGGUUAAAGAUGGUAAACAUGUUAGGCGUCAAUCUAGUUACCAGAUAUGCUGGGAAGAUAUUGUUCCUAAGCGUUAAUUCUUUUCAUUGUAUAGGGAGCCCAUUGCAACACAAAGUACAGUUUGUUUGGGUCAAUCAGGAGGAUGAAGCAGAGGUCAAAUUAGCAUUCUCAACUAACAACCUUCUGUUUAAUAAUUUUUUUCUUUUCAGGGCACUACUCAUCUUACCGUUAUUAUUUAUUAUCCAGGAAACGCCAAUGUAUAGUGCUUGGUAUGAAGUAUUGUCAGUUUUGCACUUGAUGGCAAUGCUAUCAUUGUCCCAAGCUAAUCUUUUGCUUCUUCCUAGAACAUCUGCUGAUGGUUAUCAACCAAAGAUGUCAGAAGGUAGGUUGUUAUUGCUAAAUCCAAUUUUGCAGAAGUAAUAUGGUUAAGUAGUUAAACUGCAGAUGUCACCAAACAUCUUGAAAAGAUUUGUAACUUUUACAUUUAUUGAAUCACAUCUUUAAUCAUAUAUUGUUUCUUUUAACCUGUUAUUAUUUUAAGAUAUGGUAGCAUAGCUGAUUAAUGUGCGGCAUGUGCACAUACUUAAUAGUUAGUGCGGUAGUAUUUGUUGGCACUCCUCCUCUGAUUGAAAUUGGAUUUCGAAGAUUACUCAAAAAUAUUCAGUCGUCGACAUGAUUUCAUUAAAUCAUAAAGAAACCCUACAUAAGAAGGAACUCAUGUGAUUGAAAGGUUCUAUUGGUAAUGACCUGGAGGAGAAUAUAACAUGACUGUCAUAUGGUAUUCUGGCUAGGUGUGGACAUAGCCUGUCGCAAUUUGGCCUUGUUUGAGCCCCAUUAAUUUUUUGUAAUGUAUUACGGAAUAGUAAAUUGAUGGGAAAUGUAUGGUUAAAAAGA
rnacentral:lncRNA from 1 species